rnacentral:rRNA from 1 species
GAUGAACGCUAGCGACAGGCUUAACACAUGCAAGUCGAGGGGCAGCGGGGGCGAAGCUUGCUUCGCCUGCCGGCGACCGGCGCACGGGUGAGUAACACGUAUGCGACCUGCCCCCCGCAGGGGGAUAACCGGGAGAAAUCCCGACUAAUACCGCGUAACGCCGCGGGGCUGCAUGGCCCCGCGGCCAAAGGAAGCGAUUCCGGCGGGGGAUGGGCAUGCGGCGCAUUAGCUAGUCGGCGGGGUAACGGCCCACCGAGGCGACGAUGCGUAGGGGUUCUGAGAGGAAGGUCCCCCACACUGGUACUGAGACACGGACCAG